UGUCGAAUCCUCAACGAAAACCUGUGAACACGUUUAAAAAUUGGCGUUGGGCGUCGGGGUAAAACCUGGCCCCUCGCCACCUGCUCGGCCGAACGACGACCAUACCGGGCUGUCGGUCGUGUCGGGCAACCGAAUAAAACGGGGGGGGCGGAAGUUGGCUUCCCGUGCUCCGUCGCGGCCAGCCUAAAAAAUGGUUCCCUCGUCGCGGACGUCGCGACAAGUGGUGGUCGUCGAGAUUGAACGCGAGUCGCCGGCAAGCCGCGUCGAGGAGAGCGUUUGGACCCUGUGCAUGUGAGUCCCUCGUCGAGGGACGACCAGCACGACCAGCGACCCCAGU
rnacentral:misc_RNA from 1 species